CUCUCAUUUCUCUCACUCUCGCACACAGCGAAUAUAACCAGAACCGAAAGAGAGAGAGAGAGAGGGAGGGAGAGAAUCUGAGCGAGGGAGAGAGCAAUUGGGGUUGUGAUUUGGAGAGAGGAGGAGCAAGAGGAAGGAGAAGAAGGAGAAGAAAUUAGCAUUUUCUUAUCCAAUUCAUUGGAAAUUUCCGACAACAUGUUGGAGGGUCCAUCCUAUCUUGUGUCAAGGGACUUGCCGAGCUCAUGUGAGCAGGAGAGCAAGUGGAUUUAUAAUAAGUUUCGUGUGAUUGAGCUCUCAAACAGCAAUUUCCAAUUGGAAGAUGGAGAAGAACUUCCACAGAAGAAAUCAUGCAACGUGCUCUCAAACAGCAACUGCCAAUUUGGAGAUGGAGAAGAACAUCCCCUUAAAAAUUCAUGCAGCAUGCUCUCAAACAGCAAGCGCCGAUUGGAAGAUGGAGAAGAACUUCCAUUGAAAAAGUCAUGCAACGUUUCAGAUACUCAUGAGGGAGAGGGACCAGUUAAGGGUUUUCCUGAUAUUUUUCUUGUCCCAGCUGACCAACCAGAUGACCAGCAGCACACAGGGCAUCAGUCAGACUCAAGUUCACUUAUUCACCAACUUGGUCGGGACAUAUCAAUUAACUGUAUUAUUCGCUGCUCUAGGUCUGAUUAUGGAUCAAUUGCCUCACUGAAUCAGAGCUUUCGGUCUUUGAUUCAGAGUGGGGAGUUAUAUAGGCUGAGACAACAAAUGGGUAUCAUUGAGCAUUGGGUUUACUUCUCCUGCAGCCUCCUUGAAUGGGAGGCAUUUGAUCCAAGUCACCGCCGUUGGAUGCAUUUGCCUAGAAUGCCAUCAAAUGAAUGCUUCAUGUGGUCAGACAAGGAGUCGUUGGCCGUUGGUACCGAACUUCUUGUUUUUGGAAAGGAAAUAACUUCCCAUGUUAUUUAUAGAUAUAGCAUUUUGACAAACACGUGGUCAUCCGGCAUGAGGAUGAAUACAUCCAGGUGCUUGUUUGGUUCUGCCAGCCUUGGGGAAAUUGCAAUUCUAGCUGGCGGUUGUGACCCACAUGGCAAUAUCUUAGACUCGGCUGAGCUUUAUAAUUCGGAAACAGGGACUUGGGCGACCCUUCCGAACAUGAACAAAGCGAGAAAAAUGUGCUCUGGGGUAUUUAUGGACGGGAAAUUUUAUGUUAUUGGUGGGAUUGGAAUUGGCAACUCAAAAUCGCUUACAUGCGGUGAGGUGUAUGAUAUGAAGAAAAUGAAAUGGACUCUGAUACCUGACAUGUUCCUUGCACGAAAUGGAGGGGAUGGGGUGGCUGAGGCACCUGCUGCAGCUGAGGCACCUCCUCUAGUCGCUGUUGUAAAUAAUGUGCUGUAUGCAGCACAUUAUGCACAAAAGGAGGUGAGGAGAUAUGACAAAGAGAGGAACUUAUGGAUCACAAUUGGGACAUUGCCUGAGCAGGCAGUCUCGAUGAAUGGUUGGGGAUUAGCAUUUAGAGCUUGUGGACAUCGGCUAAUUGUUAUUGGCGGACCUAGGGCUUUAGGUGAAGGGAUGAUUGAGCUUAAUUCUUGGGUCCCUAAUGAAGGCCCACCACAAUGGGACCUGCUAGCCACAAAGCAAUGCGGCAGUUUUGUGUAUAAUUGUGCUGUGAUGGGAUGCUGAGGUGUCCGGUUUAGGCGAUACCGUUAUGCUGUGUGGAGUCCUUUCUGGAUAGAAUUUACUGUUGAGAUGGGAUUCUGGCUCGUGGGUAAUCUCUGCCCUUCUUUUUUGAGGAAAUUUCCCGUUUAAAUUUAGAGUCAUAGAUACUUCCUUGGAAGGAGGUCUAGAGGUUUACUUUCCUAUUCCUUUUCUUUUCCAUUUUAUAAUUGCUUCUCUACCUUCCUUUUCUUUUUUAGUUACCAUGAGAGCUUUUCAAAGGUUGGCAUUAUGUAGAACAGGCACAGAAGGAGGCUAGGGUCACAUUCCUGUAUUAUGAUUCAGGCAAAGCAUCAAACACCCUUUUAGGAAAGUACAGCCUGGAACUCUGCAGAACAGUUGGCCCUCUUACCGGCAAAGAAAGAAAGAAAGAAAGAAAGAAAGCAUCAAGCAAACACCCUUUCGAGAAAUGAGUAAAAUCUUUGUUGGAGCCACAAAAAAAAAGAAAAAAAGAAAAAAAGAAAAAGGGUACAAUUAUUAUACAGCCAUGAAAAACGGAUUGAUUUGUGAGCCAUCGAUGGCACGGACCCCACGAGAGAUAAAACCGUUACAGUGGUCACGUGGGUGGGUGGAUACUUCCAUAAACGCAUGCCUGUGCUUGUCCGACUGGUGUCAAACUUUUGCUAACUGCUAUGGUACUUGCCUUUGUACUUUUCUUUCUUGGAAUGUACCAUUGCUUUGUGUCAAUAAUAAUUCUCACCUAUUUCCAAUA